rnacentral:rRNA from 1 species
GUCCACGCCGUAAACGAUGAGUGCUAGGUGUCGCGGGCUUUGACCCCUGCGGUGCCGCAGCUAACGCAUUAAGCACUCCGCCUGGGGAGUACGGCCGCAAGGCUAAAACUCAAAGGAAUUGACGGGGGCCCCGCACAAGCGGUGGAGCAUGUGGUUCAAUUCGACGCAACGCGCAGAACCUUACCUGGGCUAGAAAAUGCAGGGACCUGGUUGAAAGAUCGGGGUGCUCUUCGGAGAACCUGUAGUUAGGUGCUGCAUGGCUGUCGU